rnacentral:rRNA from 1 species
AUACGUAGGGUGCGAGCGUUGUCCGGAAUUACUGGGCGUAAAGAGCUCGUAGGUGGUUUGUCGCGUCGUCUGUGAAAUUCCGGGGCUUAACUCCGGGCGUGCAGGCGAUACGGGCAUAACUUGAGUACUGUAGGGGAGACUGGAAUUCCUGGUGUAGCGGUGAAAUGCGCAGAUAUCAGGAGGAACACCGGUGGCGAAGGCGGGUCUCUGGGCAGUAACUGACGCUGAGGAGCGAAAGCAUGGGUAGCGAACAGGAUUAGAUACCCUGGUAGUCCAUGCUGUAAACGGUGGGCGCUAGGUGUAGGGGUCCUCCACGACUUCUGUGCCGUAGCUAACGCAUUAAGCGCCCCGCCUGGGGAGUACGGCCGCAAGGCUAAAACUCAAAGGAAUUGACGGGG